rnacentral:rRNA from 1 species
AAUCGCUAGUAAUCGUGGAUCAGAAUGCCACGGUGAAUACGUUCCCGGGCCUUGUACACACCGCCCGUCACACCAUGGGAGUGGGUUGCAAAAGAAGUAGGUAGCUUAACCUUCGGGGGGGCGCUUACCACUUUGUGAUUCAUGACUGGGGUGAAGUCGUAACAAGGUAACCGUAGGGGAACCUGCGGUUGGAUCACCUCCUUACCUUAAAGAAGC